UACGGGGGGGGGCAAGCGUUGUUCGGAAUUACUGGGCGUAAAGGGCUCGUAGGCGGCCAACUAAGUCGGACGUGAAAUCCCCAGGCUCAACCUGGGAACUGCAUCUGAUACUGGAUGGCUUGAAUCCGGGAGAGGGAUGCAGAAUUCCAGGUGUAGCGGUGAAAUGCGUAGAUAUCUGGAGGAAUACCGGUGGCGAAGGCGGCAUCCUGGACCGGCAUUGACGCUGAGGAGCGAAAGCCAGGGGAGCAAACGGG
rnacentral:rRNA from 1 species